rnacentral:siRNA from 1 species
AAUGUGAAUAACAUUUGGCGCCAA